rnacentral:rRNA from 1 species
UUCCAGCUCCAAUAGCGUAUAUUAAAGUUGUUGCAGUUAAAAAGCUCGUAGUUGGAUUUCUGGCGUCGCCGCCCGGUCGGCCUCGAAAGGGGUUCGCACUCGUUGGCGCGCGUCGCCAUCCUCGGGGGAAGGCCGCCUGGCAUUAAGUUGUCGGGCGGUCGACGCUCGUCGUUUACUGUGAACAAAUUAGAGUGUUCAAAGCAGGCUUAGGCCGUUGAAUACAUUAGCAUGGAAUAAUGAGAUAGGACUUUGGUGGUCUAUUUUGUUGGUUUGCACGCCGAAGUAAUGAUUAAUAGGGGCGGUUGGGGGUAUUCGUAUUCAAUUGUCAGAGGUGAAAUUCUUGGAUUUAUGGAAGACGAACUACUGCGAAAGCAUUUACCAAGGAUGUUUUCAUUA